rnacentral:lncRNA from 1 species
UCAUUUAGUAUUUCUCUUUUUCAAAUUUUUUGUUUGUCUGUUUGUUUGUUUCUUGUUGCAGGCUGUUUCUGACAAAUUAAUCAUAGUGUGCUUCAUUUGGGAGAGAAACAAAUAAAAGCAUCAAUAAAAGGGCAGUUACCUCUGAAGGAUGACAGACUGCAAUUAGCUGACUUCCAGUUUCAGGAAGCAUAGGAUGAAGAAUCAAGAAUCUAUGCUGCUGACAACUCUCCAGUCUGAGCAAUCCU